rnacentral:rRNA from 1 species
AGAGUUUGAUCCUGGCUCAGGAUGAACGCUAGCGGCAGGCCUAACACAUGCAAGUCGAGGGGCAGCGCGGGGUAGCAAUACCCUGGCGGCGACCGGCGGACGGGUGCGUAACGCGUAUGCAACCUGCCUCGGACAGGGGGACAAGCCAGGGAAACUUGGUCUAAUACCCCAUAUUGUCGCGGAUUCGCAUGGAUUUGCGACGAAAGCUUCGGUGGUCCGAGAUGGGCAUGCGUGGCAUUAGAUAGUUGGCGGGGCGACGGCCCACCAAGUCGACGAUGCCUAGGGGAGCUGAGAGGCUAAUCCCCCACACUGGUACUGAGACACGGACCAGACUCCUACGGGAGGCAGCAGUGAGGAAUAUUGGUCAAUGGACGGAAGUCUGAACCAGCCAUGCCGCGUGAAGGAAGAAUGCCCUAUGGGUUGUAAACUUCUUUUGCCGCAGAGUAAUAAGUGGGAUGCGUCCCAUGAUGAGAGUAUGCGGCGAAUAAGCAUCGGCUAACUCCGUGCCAGCAGCCGCGGUAAUACGGAGGAUGCAAGCGUUAUCCGGAUUUAUUGGGUUUAAAGGGUGCGUAGGCGGACUGUUAAGUCAGCGGUGAAAUACCACGGCUCAACCGUGGGGCCGCCGUUGAUACUGGCGGUCUGGAGUACGAUCGGCGCCGGCGGAAUGUGUCAUGUAGCGGUGAAAUGCAUAGAUAUGACACAGAACACCGAUCGCGAAGGCAGCUGGCGAGAGCGAUACUGACGCUGAGGCACGAAGGUGCGGGGAUCAAACAGGAUUAGAUACCCUGGUAGUCCGCACAGUAAACGAUGAUGACUUGUUGUCGGCGAUAGACGGUCGGCGACAAAGCGAAAGCGAUAAGUCAUCCACCUGGGGAGUACGAUCGCAAGGUUGAAACUCAAAGGAAUUGACGGGGGCCCGCACAAGCGGAGGAGCAUGUGGUUUAAUUCGAUGAUACGCGAGGAACCUUACCCAGACUCAAAUGUCGGACGACAGGCCCAGAGAUGGGUCCUUCCUUCGGGACGGCCGGCAAGGUGCUGCAUGGUUGUCGUCAGCUCGUGUCGUGAGAUGUUGGGUUAAGUCCCGCAACGAGCGCAACCCUUAUCUUCAGUAGCCAUCAUUAAGUUGGGCACUCUGGAGAGACUGCCGGGGAUAACCCGGAGGAAGGUGGGGAUGACGUCAAAUCAUCAUGCCCCUUAUGGCCUGGGCUACACACGUGCUACAAUGGCGUAAACAAAGAGAAGCGAACCUGUGAGGGUGGGCAAAUCUCAAAAAUAACGUCUCAGUUCGGACUGUAGCCUGCAACCCGACUACACGAAGCUGGAAUCGCUAGUAAUCGCAGAUCAGAAUGCUGCGGUGAAUACGUUCCCGGGUCUUGCACACACCGCCCGUCAAG